CAAUAGCGUAUAUUAAAGUUGUUGCAGUUAAAAAGCUCGUAGUUGGAACUUGGGCCUGGCUGGCGGGUCCGCCUCACCGCGUGCACUCGUCCGGCCGGGCCUUCCUUCUGAAGAACCUCAUGCCCUUCACUGGGCGUGCUGGGGAAUCAGGACUUUUACUUUGAAAAAAUUAGAGUGUUCAAAGCAGGCCUUUGCUCGAAUACGUUAGCAUGGAAUAAUAAAAUAGGGCGUGCGUUUCUAUUUUGUUGGUUUCUAGAGACGCCGCAAUGAUUAACAGGAACAGUCGGGGGCAUCAGUAUUCAGUUGUCAGAGGUGAAAUUCUUGGAUUUACUGAAGACUAACUACUGCGAAAGCAUUUGCCAAGGAUGUUUNCAUUAA
rnacentral:rRNA from 1 species